CGUAGGUGGCAAGCGUUGUCCGUAAUUAUUGGCGUAAGGGCGCGUAGGCGGUCCCUUAAGUCAGAUGUGAAUCCCGAGGCUUAACCUCGGGCGUGCAUUUGAAACUGGGGACUAGAGUGCAGGAGAGGUAAGUGGAAUUCCUAGUGUAGCGGUGAAAUGCGUAGAUAUUAGGAGGAACACCAGUGGCGAAGGCGACUUACUGGACUGUAACUGACGCUGAGGCGCGAAAGCGUGGGAGCAAACAGGAUU
rnacentral:rRNA from 1 species